ensembl:lncRNA
GUUCCCACCAGGUUACUGUUCCCACUAUGGUACUGUUCCCACUAUGUUACUGUUCCCACCAGGUUACUGUUCCCACCAGGUUACUGUUCCCACUAUGUUACUGUUCCCACUAUGUUACUGUUCCCACCAGGUUACUGUUCCCACUAUGUUACUGUUCUCACCAGGUUACUGUUCCUACUAUGUUACUGUUCCCACUAUGUUACUGUUCUCACCAGAUUACUGUUCCCACUAUGUUACUGUUCCCACCAGGUUACUGUUCCCACUAUGUUACUGUUCUCACCAGAUUACUGUUCCCACUAUAUUACUGUUCCCACCAGGUUACUGUUCCCACUAUGUUACUGUUCCCACCAGGUUACUGUUCCCACCAGGUUACUGUUCCCACCAGGUUACUGUUCCCACUAUGUUACUGUUCCCACUAUGUUACUGUUCCCACUAUGUUACUGUUCCCACCAGGUUACUGUUCCCACUAUGUUACUGUUCCCACCAGGUUACUGUUCCCACCAGGUUACUGUUCCCACUAUGUUACUUUUCCCACCAGGUUACUGUUCCCACUAUGUUACUGUUCCCACCAGGUUACUGUU